rnacentral:rRNA from 1 species
UACAUAGGGUGCGAGCGUUGUCCGGAAUUAUUGGGCGUAAAGAGCUCGUAGGCGGUUUGUCACGUCUGCUGUGAAAUCCCGAGGCUCAACCUCGGGCCUGCAGUGGGUACGGGCAGACUGGAGUGCGGUAGGGGAGAAUGGAAUUCCUGGUGUAGCGGUGGAAUGCGCAGAUAUCAGGAGGAACACCGAUGGCGAAGGCAGUUCUCUGGGCCGUAACUGACGCUGAGGAGCGAAAGCGUGGGGAGCGAACAGG